CAGCGCUGCGAGACGCCCCGGACGCGCGGAGCCCGGUUCCCAGCGCUGCGGCCGGAGGGCGGGCUGGAGGCGGGCGGGGGCGGGGGCGCGCUCACCCUGCCUCGCCCGGCCCCUCGGCGCGGCCCCCGCCCCCUGCGCCGCCGCUGCCAACCCGGAAGGAGCCCCGAGGGGCCCGGGCGCCCCCGUCAGGAGGCCCGCCAGGUGUCCACCUGAGCUCCACGCCCUGCGCCUUGCCCCGCGUGGCUCUUUGGGAGGCGGAGUGCCAGCUCCGAGGUGUCCUCCCGCAGGAUAUAGACUGGGAAACCGAGGCCCGGGUCACGGUCCUAGACGCAGCCGGGACCUGAACCCGCCUCACCUGAGCUAAUGAUACCGGGGACUCAUCCUUUUUCAACACCUUUGCGGGAUCCAGCCCUCCAGGUGUUGAAACCAAGGCACAAAGAGGAGCUGUCAUUUACCUAAAGCACCCUGGCAGGGUGUUGGCAGAGCCAGAAUUUGAACCUAGAUCUCCUGACUUCGGAGAGUAUCAGCACUGAUUUCACCAUAUGUAACAAAACAAAGUCUUGCUUUUUCAUCCAGACUGGAGUGCAGUGGUGCAAUCUCGGCUUACUGCAACCUCCGCCUCCCACGUUCAAGCCAUUCUCCUGCCUCAGCCUCCUGAGUAGCUGGGAUUAUAGACAUGCACCACCAUGCUUGGCUAAUUUUUGUAUUUUUAGUAGAGACAGGGUUUCAACCAUGCUGGCCAGGCUGGUCUUGAACUCCUGACCUCAGAUGAUCCUCCCACCUUGGCCACCCAAAAUGCUGGGAUUAUGUCAUGAGCCACUGCACCAGGCCACAAUUUCUGCAUAGAACAAAAGCACAGCUGACUCUUGAACAACAUGAAUUUAAACUGCUGGGUCCAUUUAUAUGUGGAUUUUCUUCCACCUCUGUCACCCCUGAGACAGCAAGACCAGCUAUUCUUCUUCUUCCUCCUCCUCCUCCUCCUCAGCCUGCUCAACAUGAAGACAAGGAUGAAGACCUUUAUGAUGAUCCACUUCCACUUAAUAAAUAGCAAAUAUA